rnacentral:rRNA from 1 species
UCACCUGUUUAUCAAAAACAUGUCUUAUUGAAAAUAAUUUUAAGUCUAAUCUGCUCAAUGAAUAAAUUUUAAAUAGCUGCAGUAUAAAUAACUGUACAAAGGUAGCAUAAUAAUUUGUUUUUUAAUUGAAAACUAGAAUGAAUGAUUUAAUGAAAUAUAAACUAUAUCAAAUUUAAACAAUAAAUUUAUUAUUUAAAUAAAAAAAUUUAAAUAAUUUUUAAAGACGAGAAGACCCUAUAGAAUUUAAAUAAUAAUUUUUUUAAUAAUAAAAUAAUUAUUAUAUUAAUUGGGGAAAUUUUAAAAUUUAAAAAAUUUUUAAUUUAAUAAACAUAUAUUUUUGAAUAUUUAUUAUUUUUUUAAAAAAAUAAAUUUAAUUACCUUAGGGAUAACAGCAUAAUUUUUUUAAAAAGUUCAAAUUUAUAAAAAAGUUUAUGACCUCG